CGCGGCUGCAGGCGGGGCCCUCGCUGGCCGCGCGCGGGGCGCGACCGCCGGGGCAUCCAGUCGACCAGGUGGCCGUUGAGCGCUCGCAGUGACCUAGGCACGGUCCGGGCUGCUGGGGGUCCGCGGCCAACACGCAGAUACGUACCUACAUACCUGCCUGCCUGCCCCGGGGGAGCCUGUGUUCCAAUUAUAGGAAUCACUUGUUCUGGGGGAAGCCGCCUGCCAUGUUGUGAAGAUAUUCAAGCAAAUUUAUAGAGAGGCCCACAUGGUCAAGAACCAAUGCCUCCUGCCAACAACCAGCACUAAUUUGCCAGGCUUGCCACCUUGGAAGCAGAUCCUCUAGCCUUUGUCAAGCCUCCAGAUGACCGCAGUCCCACAUGACCAUAGUCCCAGCUGACCUCUUUAAUGAGAUUUCAUGACUGCUUAAUAUAAGAUCUACAGGAGUUAAAGGAGUCAAAACUUAAGGCUGGGAUGACAUAAAUAAUGGUGGGACCAUUAGAAAAAUCUAUGUGGAACAACAGAGAAAGAGCAGGCCUAGGAGAGGAGAAGAUGGCCUCGCCUAUGAACAAGCUGGUCUUGAGGAAUCACGAGACAUCCAGAUCGCCACUUUGACAGCUCAGAUGUGCAAGGACUCCAUCUACUCAUUAUACAACAUGAAAAUGGAACACGUUGGUUUCUAUCAGCCUCAUCAGAAAUCUUGGCAGAUGCUGUCAGAAAGAACACACUACUUCUGAGAUGUGAUUUUUCAAUAAUGCAGACUGUACUUUUUGAUUGGGGUUGGGAAAGAGAGGAAAGGGGAGUUGAUUGUGCUUUUUUUUUUUUUUCCUUUUUAAUUUUGAAAUUAUUCUUUUCCAGGAGGCUUUUCCUUAGACCCCACUGAGCUCCUCUGACUAGCCAUGACCACACCACCAGUGGUCUGGGGCGGGCCAGCCAUCUCGAGGCCACCCUAGAGCCCUGUGCCAAGGAUCCAUUCCUUUGAAACAGCCCCCUGUGUGCAGUGUUCAGGGCUCACCCUUGGUGGCUCUCACCUCCCUGGAGUCCAGCAUUAUUCAUAGCUCCCAGUCUCCUCCACUCCACUUGGCCUCGACCUCUGUGUCCCUGUCUUGCAUUAAGACAUCUGAAGUGGGUGGUUCAAGCAAAGAGCAUUUUGUUCCCAGCGGAACGAGGCUCAGGGAGACCGGCAGUGCCAGAGACAGGAGUGGGCACCAUUCGUCAUUCGACUAAAGCCUCGCAGUGUGCAAGCUCCCCACGACAAGCACCACCUUUCCCUGGGAAGGCGGCCAAGGCCUGGAGCCCUGUGUAGGAAAUCCCCAGCGAGAGGCCCUUCCUGAGCGCCACAGAAAAUGGUUCUUUUCAGAGACUGAGUCCCCUUCCUUUCUAGCUACAGGCCCACAUCACGUCCCCCUUCCUGGCCUUUUGCAGCCCGUUCACAUGCCAAGUGCUCCCGCCCCGGCGCCGCAGGGCUCCUGCGCCCCUUCCCUUUCCGAGCCACCCUCAACUGGCUUCCCCAGCCCUGGCAAAGCCUGCAGUCCCCACUUGGGCUGCCAGUGCUCCCUCCACCCCACAUGAAAACUGUCCCAUGCCCUGUCUCCACAUCUCCAGAGGCUCCUCUUGCGUUGAACAGAAAUGAUUUGUUGACUUUACUAAAUUAGCAAGGGGAGCAAAUUCCACAGAUGCCUCUUUGUUCCUGAGUCUCAAAGUUCAGACCUCUAGCUUGAUGGCAGGACUGAGGUGGUGCCAGCAGCUUGAGAGUGCGCGAGAGAAUGACAGCUGACAGUCCCUCUUGACAGGGCCAUUACGAGCUGGCAGGCGGUGGUCCACGCCUCUCACAGCUUCAUAAUGUGAUCUUCACGACAGCCCGCUCUCUGCAGCAGGUACUGUUGCUAGGCCUGCUUUACAGAGGAAGGAGCUGGGACGUGAGGCUAGCAAGAGUCAGACCCGGGUGUGCCUGGGGGAUGGCACCCCUGCACCCAUCCGACUACCUCUCCCGAAGUGUGCUGGGGAAGGGGAGCGGGAGACUUGGAUUCUGGCCUCCUCCUGCCACUCUUUAGGUGGGUCACUUUGGGCCAGCCACAUGCAUUUUUCCAAAUGUCCUUUCCUGAUCAGAAAAAUUAUGGGAAUGAGGUGAUCCCCUAGGGCACUUCCACACAAUGACAUUCUCCCCCCCAUUAUAAAGGCACUCAGAAAGAUCCCCAAAUUCCUGGACUCGAGGCCAGCCCCAGGUAAAGGGAUGAUGUGGCUCUUCUUUGAGUGCAUCCCCAUCUGUAACAGAGCAAACACACUGCCCAGGUUAGGCAGCUGUUCCAGUCCAACUCUCUUGGGCAAGAGAGUGUGAUACUUUACGCUUUGAUAUGAGAUGGAGUCAUAAAUAGUCAUAAAUACUGUUGCAGAUGCCAGGGGCCAUAUGAUCACAGAUGUCCUGCACCCCUGCCAGGAUCCCUCAGUGACUGCCCUGUGCCUGCAGGAGGAAGCCUGCACUCUAGCUCGGCUUCCUCGAGGAGCUGCAUGAGCACACUUUCACCUUCCCACCUUGACCUGUUAUCUUCUCCAGAGACUCAUGUGUACCUCCCCUGCCAAUUUUGGCUGAGCUGACAGGAUGUUAAGGGUUCAUCCUUACCACUGGUGGAAGAUUUGUAGCACCAUACUCGAUCGAUUCAAAGGUGCACAUUUUUCCUCUUUUUAUUUUUUGAAUAUUUUUAUUUAUUUAUUCAUGAGAGACACACACACAGAGAGGCAGAGACCCAGGCAGAGGGAGAAACAGGCUUCCUGCAGGGAGCCCAAUGUGGGACUCGAUCCCAGGACCCCGGGAUCAUGACCUGAGCUAAAGGCAACCACUGAGCCACCCAUCAUUGUUUAUUUGGCAGCACUUUUUCUUUCAUGGUGGUUCACAAAAUAAUGAUGUAUCUUGCAGCCGAAGGCCUCUUAGAUUUGAUGAAGUAUGGUGAGUAGCAUUUUCCAGAUCUGAGCUCUAGAAGCUCAGCCAGACACUGGCAACCUGUGUGCCCUUUUUCUGAGGCUUUUCCUCCCAAUCAGGAUGGGGUCCAGUAUAAUGGAGAUGAUCUUGGGGGGUUUCUAGGGCUCUCUAAUUGUAGCCAUGGGGGAUAUUCAAAGUGUUUCCUGACCAGACCAAUCAGAACGAAGACAGCUGAAAACAUCUGGCGUGUCUGUCCUGGAGUUUACCCAGUACCCACCCUGGCUCUAGUACUCCUUGCCAUUGGCUCCAGAUGUGCAGCCAUUUUCUCUCCUCCUUAAUUUUAUGGGCACUUACCAGCACUCUCAGGGAACAUGGCCUAUCACCCAACCCCAGGGGACAAUCCCUAACUGGAUGAAGCCAGGCAUGGUUAUCCCAGUCUCCUUUGCUUUUAUUGUUUUUAGGAGUGGGCAUGUGUAUUAAUUUACCAUUGCUGCCAUAACAAAUGACUAGAACUUUAGCUUAAAGCAACACAAAUGUAUUAUAUUUGUGUAGGUCAGAAGCCAAGUACAGAUAUCACUAGCCUAAAAAUCAAGAUGUCUACAAGACUGAGUUCCUUCCCAGAGGCUCUAGGGGAGAACUUGUUUCCUUGCUCUUUUGGGUAUUGGCAGAAUUUAGUUCCCUACAACUAUAAGAAUGAGGUCUCUGGCUGUCAGCUAGGAACCUCUAUUAGGGUCGAGAGGCACCCUCCACCUUGGGACAAGUGACAAAUCCUCCUCACAUUGCCAUCUCAUCACCCAGCAGGGCUUGUGGGAUUAUAUUGGGCACCCCAGAUAAUCCAGGAUAGACUCCUCGUCUCAAGGUUCCACCCUUGGUCACAUCUGCAAAGUUCCUAUUGCCAUGUAAGGCAACAUGCUCACAGGCUGCAGGGACAAGAGCAUGAGCAUCUUAGGAGGUCAUUGUUCAGCCUGCUACAGCAGGUGACGAACUCUGGCUGAUGAGCUAUAAAGGGGUACCGCUGGGCUUUUGGAGAUAUUGCUCCCUAACAAAAAGACAGACUUUGAGGAGGCUUGCCCUGCUCCCACUUGCUUUGUUUGAGACGGUGUGAGCUGCAGCAGCUACCUUAGCAGCAUUAGGCAUCAAUGCCAACAAUAAAAGUUGACACUGAGAACAGCAGUGAGAAUAUCAGAGUGAAAAGGAAAAGCUUGCCUUUGGAUGGUAAUGUUGAGCCAUUGAAACUGCCUAGAUCUCCUGCCUAGCUCCUGUUGACCCCUCUUGAAGGGCAGGGCAAGCCUCCUAUAUUUCUGGUUAUGCCUGGUUAGUCGUUGAUGAAUAGAUCUCCCAUAGUCCAUAACACUGCCUGCCAGGUUGUACCUCCUGGUUGAGAUGAUUGUCUGAAUUAUGCCUGAAUUUGCAGCGCCCUCCAAACUUGAUGGCUUAGAUUGCUGGCUGCCCUCAUGGCAGCUCUGUUUUUCAGGCCUGGUACCAGGCUUAGCUUUUCCCUCCUCGUUAAUCUGCAUGCUCGGGGUCACACCAUACCUACAUUCCAUCCAUCUUAGUGUUUCUGGUGUAUCUUAAUAUCCAGAUACACUAGGCUACUGGCCAUUCCCGGACAAGUCCCUUCACCUUCAUUCUCCUGUGCCAUUCCUCCUGCUGCUCUCUCAAUCAGAAAUGCCCUUUCUAUAUCCAUAUAUCUUUGCCAUUAUAUCCUUACAACAAUUUUAUGAGGAGGUGCUAUUAUUCCCAUCUGGCAAAUGGUUAAAAAACAUCAGGUAACUUAUAUUUAAGGGUACUGGCCAGUAAGUGGCAGAACUAGGAUGCUACUGUAGGUCUUAUGAACCUGAAAGCCCACAUCUUUUCACUUGCUCCUACAUUGGCAUUUUAGAGGAGACACUGCUCAACUGAAGUCUUAAAAGGAUUUGUCUCCCUCACUGCAUUAUAAGCAUCUUGAGCGCAGGGGGUGAGUCAUUCCUUAGUGACCCCAGAAUCAGUGGUGUGCAUGUCAAGGUUAACAACUGGCUCUGAGAGAGGAUUGGGUAGGGAAGGAAAGCCCUAAUUUAUACUGUUUUUCGUGGGGAAAAUUCUCCCAUCGUGGCUGAUCUUGAGCUUCCAAUGUGACAUUGCUGAACAAGGAGUUAGGAGAGAUGUGUAGAAGCACACCAUCAGAUGAUACUUCCACCACAAAGAUAAAAUAUAGGUGAAUAACCUCAAGAGGACAGAAAAUGGUAAAAAGUAGUAAAAUAAUUAGGGAGUGAAUGAAUUUUGAUUAGUUAUUACCAUUGUUUUAUCUAAUUUAUUCUGUUUUAAUCUUACGUAACUUAACCUUUAAUAAUUGUUAUGUUUAAUGAUCAGCUUGCAAAUUUCCUGAACGCUUAACAAUGAGGUUUGAGGUUGGUUUGAGCUGGUUCUGGCACACCACCGCUAGAGUCUAGUAUAAGGAUUUGCUUUUUUUUUUUUUUUUUUUUUAAGAUUCAUUUAUUCAUUUAAGAGAGAGAGAGAAAAAAAAUAAGGAGGAGGCAGGGGGAAAGGGAGAGGGAGAGAAUCUUCAGCAGACUCCCCACUAAGACGGAGCCUGAUGGAGGGCUCAAUCUCAUGGCCUGAGUCAAAAUAGACACUCCACGGACUGAGCCACCCAGGUGCCCCAGAUUUGCUUUUAAUAGGCUCUGGAAUGGUGAUGAGGAUGCUAAUAAAAAGAACAUGAUUAUCCAUUAAUGAGUUUUGAAUAGAGUCUGAUAACUCAAGCUGCAAUGUUCUUCCUGUGUUUGAGAAUUUCUUAGUUCCAUUACUCAGACUUCACCAAAAGCCCAACAAAUAAAAACUAGCUGACAGUAGAGAUCAAAGAAUAGCCAAGGCUCCCACUAAGGGCUGUGAAGACUGAACUCUGCCCAGUGUCAGGGUGGGGCGCUAUGACUGCUUCCAGUUCCAAAGGGUCUGUGUGGACUGGGCUUGAGCAAGCCUCUGGAGUUAUCACUGUCUCCUCACUUCACUCACUUCCCUCUGGCCACGCCCACAACAAGAGCUGUCCUGGACAAAAAGCACCAAGUCAAAUUAGCACUUAGUUACAUUCAAGAAAGUUCACUCUCUCAGGAAGUAGGGAGCCUAAAAUGAAAAGGAAACUACAUUGCAGCUCGCCAAGAAGUCCUGCCUUUCACUGUCUUAAACUUUUGUCAUGGGUGCAAGGCUGAUGUCACUGGAAACUGGAGUGGGCAGGAUCAGCUUAGGGAGGGAGACCGACAGCUGGUGAAUCAGCUGUGCUGCAUUACACUCUGCACUCUCCUCGUCCUGGCUCAGGGAUUGUACCAUAUAUGGACUCAGCCUCAUGAAGGCAGUCCCACUGAUUUGCAUUGGAGCGCCCUUAAAACUGCCUUUAGGGAUUAGGUCAUUGUUACCAGGAAAAGGGAGACCCCAGCAAGGUUGGUCAACAUGAAGAAAUCAGGCCCAAUUGUGGUCUGGCAAGGGAAGGCUGAGAAGAGGGGCAGCCCCAUCCAGCCACACAGCUCUGGGGAAUGAAGGACAGAGCCUGAGAAAGCAGUGGGAGUGACUCUUAGCAGUGGUUGCAAGGGGGAGGGAUUGGGCACAGGACCAGCCUACUUCUGUAGACUCCAUUCUGCCUCUGGGCGGCCUGGGGCUGCAGGAGCUUUAUCCUGAGGCUGACUCAGACCAGAGGAAUAACUCCCAAAUUUCAGAUGUGAGACACAGCUUCCCUGCUUGUGGGUGAAGGUGGCUGUGAUGCUGCUGAAUGUACAGGAGCCCCACUGAUGAAGUGAGGGACAGUCCAGGCUCUGAGUUAUUCUGGAACUGAGAGGGGUUCACCCAGGUAGAACACAGCUUGUUAACCUCCAGCCCCCAUUCCAUCCAUCCAGACUGGGGUAGCCCAGUGUGACACAGAGAGGCGGUGGGAAUCCAGGGAAACAGGAAAGGAAAAGGAGGUCGGGGAGUGAUCUUGGAAAGUGGCUUUUAAUAGAUGGCCAGGAAAUUGGAUCCAAUUUGUAAAGAUUAACCAACUUUUUUCAUUGUUGUUUCAGCAAUCUGUGUGCUUUAGCUUUGUUUUUUAAGGACCAGCUUGAGUCAUUUCAUGACACCUCUCUCUCUCCGUAUACCCCCUGAUUUUGUUCAAAAGAGCAGAGCUGUGGAAUAAUCUAGCGCUGUGAGAAGGAACUACUCCAUAUGCAAAACACAGACAAAUCUCACAAACGUAAUGUGGAAUGAAAGAAGGCAGACACAAAAGAGUACUGUGAAAUCCCAUUUAUAUCAAGCUCAGAAACAGGCAAAACCAAUAUGCGAUGUUAGAAGUCAGGAUAGUGGUUCCUUUGUUGGUGCUAGCCACUGGGAGGGGCAAGAGGGCUUCAGGGGUGCUGGUGAUGUACUAAUUCUUUGUCUGGGUGCUGCUUACAUGGAUGGAAAUACCCUGAGCUGUCCAUACACAUUUCUGUAUGCAUGUUAUAUCUCAAUCAAGCUUCCUAAAAAAAAAAAAAAAAAGAAAAUCACAGGAAGAAUAAA